rnacentral:misc_RNA from 1 species
GGGGGGGGGGGGGGUUGGUUGUCCUUGCUCUUUUUCCUAGAAAAUGUAUAUUUUCUUAUAACAACAUAAACGGGAAAUGCAAUUGCAAAAGGGCAGAACAGGUUUGCAGUUCACUCCAAAGUAACAUGGAAUUAAGAAAAGAAAGAAAAACCUAAUAUUAAUACAAAAGAGAUGUACAAUCAUACUGAUUAUUCAUCAAAG